rnacentral:rRNA from 1 species
UUGAACGCUGGCGGCAGGCCUAACACAUGCAAGUCGCACGGUAACAGGAAGCAGCUUGCUGCUUUGCUGACGAGUGGCGGACGGGUGAGUAAUGUCUGGGAAACUGCCUGAUGGAGGGGGAUAACUACUGGAAACGGUAGCUAAUACCGCAUAACGUCGCAAGACCAAAGAGGGGGACCUUCGGGCCUCUUGCCAUCGGAUGUGCCCAGAUGGGAUUAGCUAGUAGGUGGGGUAACGGCUCACCUAGGCGACGAUCCCUAGCUGGUCUGAGAGGAUGACCAGCCACACUGGAACUGAGACACGGUCCAGACUCCUACGGGAGGCAGCAGUGGGGAAUAUUGCACAAUGGGCGCAAGCCUGAUGCAGCCAUGCCGCGUGUAUGAAGAAGGCCUUCGGGUUGUAAAGUACUUUCAGCGGGGAGGAAGGGAGUAAAGUUAAUACCUUUGCUCAUUGACGUUACCCGCAGAAGAAGCACCGGCUAACUCCGUG